UACAGAGGUCCCGAGCGUUGUUCGGAUUUACUGGGCGUAAAGGGCGCGUAGGCGGUUGGGUAAGUUUGAGGUGAAAGCUCCGAGCUUAACUCGGAAAAUGCCUUGAAGACUAUCUGACUAGAGGACUGGAGGGGAGACUGGAAUUCUCGGUGUAGCAGUGAAAUGCGUAGAUAUCGAGAGGAACACCAGUGGCGAAGGCGAGUCUCUGGACAAUUCCUGACACUGAGGCACGAAAGCCAAGGGAGCAAACAGGAUUAGAUACCCCGGUAGUCUUGGCUGUAAACGGUGCGCGCUUGCUGUGAGCGGAUUCGACCCCGCUCGUGGCGAAGUUAACACAAUAAGUGCGCCGCCUGGGGAGUACGGUCGCAAGAUUA
rnacentral:rRNA from 1 species